UAGGCAGGUAGGCAGGCAGGUAGACACUGUAAGUAGGCAGGCAGGUAGGUACUGUAAGUAGGUAGGUAGGUACUGUAAGCAGGCAGGCAGGUAGGUAAUGUAAGUAGGCAGGUAGGCAGGCAGGUAGACACUGUAAGUAGGCAGGCAGGUAGGUACUGUAAGUAGGUAGGUAGGUACUGUAAGCAGGCAGGCAGGUAGGUAAUGUAAGUAGGCAGGUAGGCAGGCAGGUAGACACUGUAAGUAGGUAGGUAGGUACUGUAAGCAGGCAGGCAGGUAGGUAAUGUAAGUAGGCAGGUAGGCAGGCAGGUAGACACUGUAAGUAGGUAGGUAGGUACUGUAAGCAGGCAGGCAGGUAGGUAAUGUAAGUAGGCAGGUAGGCAGGCAGGUAGACACUGUAAGUAGGUAGGUAGGUACUGUAAGCAGGCAGGCAGGUAGGUAAUGUAAGUAGGCAGGUAGGCAGGCAGGCAGGUAGACACUGUAAGUAGGCAGGCAGGUAGGCACUGUAAGUAGGUAGGUAGGUACUGUAAGCAGGCAGGCAGGUAGGUAAUGUAAGUAGGCAGGUAGGCAGGCAGGUAGGCACUGUAAGUAGGUAGGUAGGUACUGUAAGCAGGCAGGCAGGUAGGUAAUGUAAGUAGGCAGGUAGGCAGGCAGGUAGACACUGUAAGUAGGCAGGCAGGUAGGUACUGUAAGUAGGCAAGCAGGUAGGUAGGUAGGUACUGUAAGUAGGGAGGCAGGUAGGUAGGUAGGUACUGUAAGUAGGCAGGCAGGUAGGCACUGUAAGUAGGCAGGCAGGUAGUCACUGUAAGUAGGCAGGCAGGUAGGUACCAUAGGUAGGCAGGCAGGCAGGUAGGUACCAUAAGUAGGCAGGCAGGCAGGUAGGCACUGUAAGUAGGUAGGUAGGUAGGUAGGUAGGUAGGUAGGUAGGUAGGUAGGUAGGUAGGUACUGUAAGUAGGCAGGCAGGUAGGUAGGUAGGUAGGUACUGUAAGUAGGGAGGCAGGUAGGUAAUGUAAGUAGGCAGGUAGGCAGGCAGGUAGACACUAAGUAGGCAGGCAGGUAGGUACUGUAAGUAGGCAAGCAGAUAGGCACUGUAAGUAGGCAGGCAGGUAGGUACUGUAAGUAGGCAGGCAGGCAGGUAGGUACUGUAAGUAGGCAGACACCCAGGUAGGUAGGUACUGUUAGUAGGCAGGUAGGCAGUACUGUAAGUAGGUAGGCAGGCAGGUAGGUACUGUAAGUAGGCAGACACCCAGGUAGGUAGGUACUGUUAGUAGGCAGGUAGGUACUGUAAGUAGUCAGGCAGGCAGGUAGGUACUGUAAGUAGGCAGGCAGGCAGGUAGGUACUGUAAGUAGGCAGGCAGGCAGGUAGGUUACUGUAAGUAGGUAGGCAGGUAGGUACUGUAAGUAGGCAGGCAGGUGCUGGGGCAUUUAAAAGCCCUUAACACUCAUGGACACACACUUACGGGAAGGCAUGCAUACACAUAUGAGAUGAAGGUCUCUCACACACAAACGCACUCGCACAAACCCAUACAAAUAUAUAGGAAGCCCCAUAGCUCAUUUUAGCAUGUCCACAGCAGCAUAUUCCCCAUGCAGAUG